UGCUUUACCAGAUAAGAAGUUCAGAAGCAGUGUCUCUGUGGAGAGUGGGAAUGACUAUGCACAAAGUAGAGAUAUCCAAUUACAUAACAUCCUUCGUGAAGAAGAGAUCACUGAAGUGGUUUCCAGAAGUUUUUACCCUGGGUCCAUCUGUGUUUCAUACAUGGUAUUUUGACUGGCCAAUUCAACCCUCUCUGGGAAUAAACUCAGUCUCUGCGUGUGAAGAAGGAAUAAUGACAUGAGUUUUGAUUGUAUCUGCUAUUAUAUCCCUUUCACUAGCUAUAUUCCUAGUGGGAGACAGGAAUUUUUUAACUUUCAGUUUAAAGCAAAACAUGUCAUAACAAAGGAUUAAAUCACCCAGAACAAAUGCCUGUACACACGAUGACUUUCAUUUAAAAUUUACCUAAAAUCAUUAUGUGUACUGCUAGAACCGACAAGCUUUGGGGUUAACAAAAAUACUUGCUUUUAUAAAGGGAUUCUUGGGUAUAAGAAACUAGUCAUUUAAAUCAAACAAACGAUGGAUGGAAAAAAUAAAGAAUACGAAUAAAAUGC
rnacentral:lncRNA from 1 species